GAUGAACGCUGGCGGCGUGCCUAAUACAUGCAAGUCGAGCGAACGGACGAGAAGCUUGCUUCUCUGAUGUUAGCGGCGGACGGGUGAGUAACACGUGGAUAACCUACCUAUAAGACUGGGAUAACUUCGGGAAACCGUAGCUAAUACCGGAUAAUAUUUUGAACCGCAUGGUUCAAAAGUGAAAGACGGUCUUGCUGUCACUUAUAGAUGGAUCCGCGCUGCAUUAGCUAGUUGGUAAGGUAACGGCUUACCAAGGCAACGAUGCAUAGCCGACCUGAGAGGGUGAUCGGCCACACUGGAACUGAGACACGGUCCAGACUCCUACGGGAGGCAGCAGUAGGGAAUAUUCCGCAAUGGGCGAAAGCCUGACGGAGCAACGCCGCGUGAGUGAUGAAGGUCUUCGGAUCGUAAAACUCUGUUAUUAGGGAAGAACAUAUGUGUAAGUAACUGUGCACAUCUUGACGGUACCUAAUCAGAAAGCAACGGCUAACUACGUG
rnacentral:rRNA from 1 species